rnacentral:lncRNA from 1 species
AGUACGAACAAAACCCGAAGAAGUUUUAAAACAAAGCUAAUAAAAGAGAUAAGGGUCUGGGGUUUAGUUAUGCAACGGGAGGUGUUAACACCUUAAACAUCCAUGGUACUCCAUGGGAACCUCUUUGAAAAUGUGCCUUUUGGUUUAGAAAUGGGUAUUGUUUGCAAAAGAUUGGAAAGAUGGGAAAAUAAAUGUUUUUUUUUAUGAUUUUUGUGUUUGCCAAGACUUUUUAUAAGUCUCAUGCCUACGUACCAACAAAGUGAA